GUAGGUGAACCUGCGGAAGGAUCAUUAUCACGUAUCCACGUUCUUACAACCGCGAACCAAUUUUUCUCCUGGUGAACACAUGUGGGAUAUUCUGUACUGGAGGCGCUUUGGGCCCUUAGGGCGGGUUUCGGGCCUCCUCAUGCAGUCCACGUUGUGCACACCGGGCGUGUUUACACGCAAACCCGUGGGCCUCAACCCCUAGAACAACAAUGUAUUAUUUUAUUUGAACUGACCCGUUCUUACUUCCUUUGCGGUAUUCUGCCCUUCACGGGGUGUGCGCGGGAAGACGAACAAAUUAUUUAAACUACGUACAACUCUUAGCAACGGAUACCUUGGCUCUC
rnacentral:misc_RNA from 1 species